GGGAACCGCCAGACAGUUCGCGAGGUUUUGGCCCUCUCUAAAGCCAAUUCCCCGGGGCUCGUUUUUUUAUGUGAAACUAGACAAGCCGCAAGUAAGAUGGAGAAACUUAAAUGGAGACUAGGAUUGAAGGGUUUUGCGAGUGUUUCCAGUUAUGGUCUUAGUGGUGGUAUGGCACUUUUUUGGGAUGAAAAUUUGCAAGUGACGGUUUUGGAUUCAUGUGCAUGAUAUAUUGAUGUUCGAGUGGUCGAUAAUACAAAGGAUAUUUCAUGGAGAUCAACAUUCGUAUAUGGAGAGCCGCGUGUUGAGAACUGACACCGUAUGUGGGAACAUCUAAUUAAACUACGGUCAUUUUCUACUGAACCGUGGAUAGUUUGUGCUAAUUUCAAUGAGGCAAUGUGGCAACACGAGCACUUUUCAAGAGUGCAACAAGCUGAAAACCAAAUGUUGUUGUUCCGUGACUGUUUGAUUUCAUGCGAGCUCAUGGACCUUGGGUUCUCGGGUGUUCCGUUCACGUAUGACAACGGGCAGCAAGGAAAUAGGAAUGUACGUGUCCGGCUGGACAGAGCUUGUGCGGAUGAA
rnacentral:rRNA from 1 species